UACGUAGGCAGCGAGCGUUGUUCGGAAUUACUGGGCGUAAAGAGUGUGUAGGCGGUGUUCCCAGUCUGUUGUGAAAUCUCCCGGCUUAACUGGGAGGGUGCAGCGGAAACUAGAAUGCUAGAGGGUGGGAGAGGUAAGCGGAAUUCCUGGUGUAGCGGUGAAAUGCGUAGAUAUCAAGUGGAACACCAGUGGCGAAGGCGAGUCUCUGGACAUUUCCUGACGCUGAGGCACGAAAGCCAGGGGAGCAAACGGG
rnacentral:rRNA from 1 species